GCCGACGUAGCUCAGUUGGUAGAGCAACGGUUUUGUAAACCGUAGGUCAUAGGUUCGAAUCCUACCGUCGGCU
rnacentral:tRNA from 1 species